UACGUAGGGGGCAAGCGUUGUCCGGAAGUCAUUGGGCGUAAAGAGCGUGUAGGCGGCCCGAUAAGUCCGCUGUGAAAGUCCAGGGCUCAACCCUGGAAUGCCGGUGGAUACUGUCGGGCUCGAAUCCGGAAGAGGUGAGUGGGAAUUCCCGGUGUAGCGGUGAAAUGCGCAGAUAUCGGGAGGAACACCUAUGGCGAAGGCAGCUCGCUGGGACGUUACUGACGCUGAGACGCGAAAGCGUGGGGAGCAAACAGG
rnacentral:rRNA from 1 species